rnacentral:rRNA from 1 species
CGAACGAGAGCUUGCUCUUGUUCGGUCAGCGGCGGACGGGUGAGUAACACGUGGGCAACCUGCCCGCAAGACCGGGAUAACUCCGGGAAACCGGAGCUAAUACCGGAUAACACCAAAGACCGCAUGGUCUUUGGUUGAAAGGCGGCUUCGGCUGNCACUUGCGGAUGGGCCCGCGGCGCAUUAGCUAGUUGGUGAGGUAACGGCUCACCAAGGCGACGAUGCGUAGCCGGCCUGAGAGGGUGACCGGCCACACUGGGACUGAGACACGGCCCAGACUCCUACGGGAGGCAGCAGUAGGGAAUCUUCCGCAAUGGACGAAAGUCUGACGGAGCGACGCCGCGUGAGCGAAGAAGGCCUUCGGGUCGUAAAGCUCUGUUGUGAGGGACGAAGGAGCGCCGUUUGAAUAAGGCGGCGCGGUGACGGUACCUCACGAGAAAGCCCCGGCUAACUACGUGCCAGCAGCCGCGGUAAUACGUAGGGGGCGAGCGUUGUCCGGAAUUAUUGGGCGUAAAGCGCGCGCAGGCGGUCCUUUAAGUCUGAUGUGAAAGCCCACGGCUCAACCGUGGAGGGUCAUUGGAAACUGGGGGACUU